rnacentral:rRNA from 1 species
AUUGAACGCUGGCGGCAUGCCUUACACAUGCAAGUCGAGCGGCAGCGCGGGGGCAACCCUGGCGGCGAGCGGCGAACGGGUGAGUAAUGCAUCGGAACGUACCCUGGAGUGGGGGGAUAACGCCGCGAAAGCGGCGCUAAUACCGCAUAUGCUCUGAGGAGGAAAGUGGGGGACCCGCAAGGGCCUCAUGCUCUGGGAGCGGCCGAUGUCCGAUUAGCUAGUUGGUGAGGUAAAGGCUUACCAAGGCGACGAUCGGUAGCUGGUCUGAGAGGAUGAUCAGCCACACUGGGACUGAGACACGGCCCAGACUCCUACGGGAGGCAGCAGUGGGGAAUUUUGGACAAUGGGGGCAACCCUGAUCCAGCCAUGCCGCGUGAGUGAAGAAGGCCUCGGUGUAAG